rnacentral:lncRNA from 1 species
CCUGAUUGCCGCCCAGAGCCCCAGACCCAAGAGCUAGUUCUAGAAGUACAGGAAUCUUAGGGGAUCGUGCAUCGUCUGUUUCCUUGUGUCUUGUAAGAAUUGUUCUUUAACUCCGCCUUUGGCAAAUCGCCAUUGCCGGUCCCCAGCCCGGAUCAAAGGAGGAGGGAAGGAUUGUUUAAGAUAUAUAACCAUUAUUUGGAUCAUUUCUUCUCAUUUUGUAUUUUCAUGGUUGGGAUCACAAGUGAACGCAAUUGAUCUAAACAAUUUACAAGCUAACCAUAAAAUUUUGAAGUAUUUGUUGAUCACACAAGUCUAAAGUAUAUAAAUUUAGAGUUAGGGUUAGUUGUCAAUCAUGAAAAAGACUGCAGAAUAUCUUUUAGAGCUGAUAUAUUUAAAAAAAAAUGUGGUUCACAAUUAGAAAAGAAUAUUAUAUAUGCAUAUUUGAGAGACAACCAUCCUGAGACCCAAACUAAAGUACUAAGAAGGAUAGCUACAUAAAAGAAAGUCGAUAUAGUGAGAAACCAUAAUAUCAAUCCCAUCGCAUUUUAUUUAUUUUCUUAUUCAUUUGUAAUUUAGGGCAUUGUCUUUCAUUAUUUUUAAUGAAAACUUUUAAUAUUUGCAAAACACACACACACAAACGAGCUAUUGAUGAUGGAUUUCUUCUAAAGAGUCCACAUACACACACACACAAUUCAUUCUAAAGAGUUUAUUUGUAUAAAAAAAUAGUACAAGAAAGAGG